UCAAAAACAUGACUUUGGUCUCCGUCCUCAUCUGGACUCUCCUCUGCUUCACUCAGGGGUCUGUUGGACAAAAUGUUGUUGUGACUCAGCCAGCAGCCAAAUCAGUGCAGCUGGGUCAGACUGUCUCUAUUGACUGUAAGGCCAGUCCGACAGUAACUCGCUACUCUGGUUCACAAUACUACCUGGCCUGGUACCAUCAGAAAACUGGAGAAGCUCCUAAACUUCUGAUCUACAGAACAUCAGACAGAUAUUCUGGAAUCUCCUCCAGAUUCAGUGGAAGUGGAGCAGGGAAUGGAGUUGACUUCACUCUGACCAUCAGUGGAGUUCAGGCUGAAGAUGUAGCAGUUUACUACUGUCUGAGUCAUCAUACCAUCAACAGUCAAGGUGUGUUCCCACAGUGAAAAAGCGUCGUACAAAAACCUCCCUCAGUCAGACUGAACAGAAACUGAACUGACUGCUGCAGCUGGAAGCUACUGCAGAGACUGAUACAGUUCACUGAGGACACACACACACACACACACGAUUUGUGAUGCUCAUUGCGUCUCCACCAGUUUUCCUCCUGAAGUUCAAACAGUCCUCCUCAACAAGCUGAAAGUUUCCUCAGAUGAAGAGAACAGUUCCAGUGAAGAAGCCCAGUCAGACCAUUAAAACCACAAUAGCAGCAGAGUCAGCUCCACUGAUGUAGAGACACAAACCAAAUUCACAAUAUAUCAAACAUCAACGUCCACA